rnacentral:lncRNA from 1 species
AUGUCCUUAGCCACCCCUUUCUGGCUGUUGCUGCACAGCCCUGCUUACAAGAGACCCAAGGCAGCCACACCUCACCCCAUGGCCAUGGGCCUCAUGAAGGUGGUGCCCAGGGAGAUCGGCUCCCACCACCUCAUGUGGAGAGAACCUCAAAAGGAGACCUUUGAUGCUCUCCGGGAAGAUGAGAUGAUCCUCACCCCCGACGUAGCCCUGGCCAUGGCUCCUCCUUCUUGA